GACGAACGCUGGCGGCGUGCUUAACACAUGCAAGUCGAACGGAAAGGCCUUUUCGGAGGUACUCGAGUGGCGAACGGGUGAGUAACACGUGGGUGAGCUGCCCUGCACUCUGGGAUAAGCCUGUGAAACUGGGUCUAAUACCGGAUAGGACCGAACAGUAGUUUGUGUGGUGGAAAGUUUUUUCGGUGUAGGAUGAGCCCGCGGCCGAUCAGCUGGUGGGUGGGGUAAUGGCCUACCAAAGCGGCGACGGGUAGCCGGACUGAGAGGUUGGUCGGCCACCUUGGGACUGAGAGGCGGCCCAGACUCCUACGGGAGGCAGCGGUGGGGAAUAUUGCACAAUGGGCGCAAGCCUGAUGAGGCGGCGCCGCGUGGGUGAUGACGGCCUUCGGGUGGAAAACGCGUGUCGCCAGGGACGAAGCGUUUUGUGACGGUACCUGGAGAAGAAGCACCGGCUAACUACGUG
rnacentral:rRNA from 1 species